GCCAGUGUAAUGCAGUGGUUUGAGUGCUGGACUACAAAUCUAUAGACCAGCAUUCGAUUCCCAGCUCAGCCA